rnacentral:lncRNA from 1 species
GCUCACACACCUUCGCUUCUGCUUCCUCCCUUCUAGCUCGAUAAUAUUAUAAAGAAUCGAGCUGGGGGUACAGAACCCCCAGUUCACAGACCUCUUGAAGAUUCUAGUUCUAUUCUACAAACAGAAUUGUUGUAUUAUAUAUGUUGUUCAGUUUAACUUUUCAAACAAGCUAAUACGUUUGCAAUUACUUUGAGACUCACCAAGCCCAAUCUAGAGUAGACAUUAGUUUUUGUUUCUUAUGUAGUACUUUCACUAGGCAGCAGCACCCAGUUCUGUGUGAUGCGGCGCCACCACGUGCUCAAAAUUUCAAGACACAGCGCCCAAACGCGGCGCUGCUGCCACUGCGAAAAUGUUUUAGAUUCAAAAUGUUUCCAAAAAGUUCAAAAUUUUGAAAUUUAGGACAAAAAUUCACAUUCCAAAAAUAAGAAAUCCAAAAUAUGAAUUUCAACCCUAAAAUUCAUUAUUUAUUCUCGUUGGUUUAAUAUGGAGUUGAAUUUGAUUCCAUUUGUUAGAAUUUAAAAACUUUAUGAAUCUCAAAUAUUUGAAAACCCUCUCUCUUUUACUUUAUUUGUUGCUAGGAUCUUCCAUAUCAAAUCAUAAAGAGAAUUAAAAGUGUAGAACAUACCUUGAUCCAUGGUGAAUGAGUUUGAUUACUGGAUUUUAAUUCUGAAUCUUGAGUUGGGCGUUCUUGAUUAUUGCUUCUAGAUCUUCAUUGCCUGUUCUUGAUCCUUAAUCGCGGGUUCUAGAUCUUUCUCCUUGAUACUCUUUAUCUUAUUACUUAUGUGUUGAUGGAAUGACACAAAGAAUGAGAAGUCACGUGUGAAUUGAGAUCCAUAAACCUAUGUUUAUAUCUCCGAUUUCGGUCAAUAAUGAAAUACAAUCUAAAGGAAUCUGGUCUUUACAAAUAUUUACGCCUAUAUCAUAUUUAAGAUGUCCAAAACCUAAUAACUUUAAUUCUUUAUUAAAUCACUUUAAAUGAGUUUAAUCUCAAGAUCUUCCAUACACAAUUAAGUACAACCCAACAUGUAAAAUGUCUAUCUCUUUUAUUUAUUUUUUAUUUUUUGCCCCAGUCAAUUAAAGUAAUGCAAUCUCGGAGACCACAUUAAAUUAUCAUAUCAUCUAAAAGGUACAUUUUUAUUUUGUCAAAAAGGAGGAGAAUUAAUUAUUUAAAACUUAAAUUCCAAACGUGCUAUAUGAGCAUGUUUACUAUUAAUAGUACAAACACUGCAAUUGUAACUUUUAUUUUGUAAUGCCUCCAGAAAUGCAUUGGAUGAAUUAUAACUGGGGCGCCCAGCUCCCGCCCCCGGCACUCACCUUCGCCUCUGCUUCCUCCAUUCCAGCUUGAUAAUAUUGUUGGAAAAUAUGACAAUGGAGAACAAAAAAUGGGAAACCAAACAAGGAGGAAGAAGAUAAAUUAUAUCAACGAAGACUUGAACAUGAAAUUAGUCUCGUUGCCCUCAAACGUUAUUUGCCUCAUUUCCAACGAUUUUUAAUGAUUUCUGACAAAUAGUUUGUAGGAUUAAACAAAUCUUAAUGAAGAACAUUAAAAAGCAAAAGUGUUUCUUCAAAGUGAACAAGUGAAAAAGGAUGCAUGUGAAGAAACAAAAAUUCUAUUUAUUGUGGAUGAACAAGAAAUGAAUUGUCAUACGAUUUUUUCACGGCAUUUUCUUGAACUUUGAUCACCUAUUUAUAGGCCUUGAAAAGUUUUCACGAAAUUGUGUCAAACUUGGGUUGAAAAGCCCCCAAUUUUAAACAAAAAGGGUAAAAAAGCUCAUAACGAUCACAUUUUGUAACCAUGCGGUCGCAUGGUUGUAACCCGGUGGCCCUCAAACUCUCGGGAAGGCAUUAUGGGCCUGCGAUAAUGCCUAUGCGAUCUCAUAGGCCAUUUUUUUCCCUCCAAUUAAUUCAUCCAUUUACGUGAUUUUGAACAACAAAUAUUACCAAUGUUGUUUAGUUCAACUUUUCAAACAGGCCAAUAUGUUCACAAUUAGUUUGAGACUCG